UACGUAGGGGGCAAGCGUUGUCCGGAAUCAUUGGGCGUAAGGAGCGUGUAGGCGGCUCGAUAAGUCUGCUGUGAAAGUCCAGGGCUCAACCCUGGAAGGCCGGUGGAAACUGUCGGGCUAGAGUCCGGAAGAGGCGAGUGGAAUUCCCGGUGUAGCGGUGAAAUGCGCAGAUAUCGGGAGGAACACCAAUGGCGAAGGCAGCUCGCUGGGACGGUACUGACGCUGAGACGCGAAAGCGUGGGGAGCAAACAGG
rnacentral:rRNA from 1 species